rnacentral:rRNA from 1 species
AUUGAACGCUGGCGGCAUGCUUUACACAUGCAAGUCGAACGGUAACAGGCCGCAAGGUGCUGACGAGUGGCGAACGGGUGAGUAAUGCAUCGGAACGUGCCCAGUCGUGGGGGAUAACGCAGCGAAAGCUGUGCUAAUACCGCAUACGAUCUGUGGAUGAAAGCGGGGGACCGUAAGGCCUCGCGCGAUUGGAGCGGCCGAUGUCAGAUUAGGUAGUUGGUGGGGUAAAGGCGCACCAAGCCGACGAUCUGUAGCUGGUCUGAGAGGACGACCAGCCACACUGGGACUGAGACACGGCCCAGACUCCUACGGGAGGCAGCAGUGGGGAAUUUUGGACAAUGGGCGCAAGCCUGAUCCAGCAAUGCCGCGUGCAGGAAGAAGGCCUUCGGGUUGUAAACUGCUUUUGUACGGAGCGAAAAGGCUCUCUCUAAUGCAGGGGGCUCAUGACGGUACCGUAAGAAUAAGCACCGGCUAACUACGUGCCAGCCGCCGCGGUAAUAC